ensembl:misc_RNA 7SK 7SK RNA
GGAUCUGAGGGCCAUCUGGCUGCAACACUCAUCACCCCACUGAUCGUCAGGGCUGAUUUGGCUGAUCUGGUUGGCUAGGUGGGUGUUAUCUUCUUUCCUCAGUGCUCCAUGUGCGUCCUUCCCAAAACUGUAUGCUUGGUUAAAAAGGACUAUGCCCAUAGAGCAGAACUGUUUCCUUGGUCAAGGAUAUUCAAGUAGCUGUAGUCCCCUGUUAGAACCCCCAAACACACUCGCAAGAACAGAGGGGUCUGCUAUUGGCAGAAUUUGCUAUUUUUACAUAGGGUGUUCAAAAACU